ACUGCCUCAACAACGAAGCAAAUAUAACUAUAAUUUUUCAAAUAUUGUGAACUUACAUAGGCUUUCCUCUGACUGAAGUUUUCAUCUAUCGGGAUAUUCUACAGAUAUUCUGUAACACCCACCAAGUGCCUGUGCGUUUGACCUUAUUUUCCACCCAAAACUCCAAUUCAGGUCCGUUGCCUGUCGAUUUGGGAAAAGCAAAACACUUACUAUACGGGUUUACUCAAUCUCACCGGAAAACUCGAGAUUGCAUCGGAUGAAAUUAGGCGUUCUUGAGUGGCAGAAGCCCUGCGAAAAUGGGCACGUCUCACAAACGACAAGCAUAUCACACUAAUAGCUAGAAAUUGGUUUCAAGGUCAAAGAAGUCAUCGCCAUCUGUCGAUCGGCAAGUACGCUUCAUGCAUGAAAUACACUUGCUCUAAAAUAGACACGAAUUUUAAUGAACAAACAUUAAUUUUUAGUCUUUUCAGGAUAGAAUUAGGAAGCAGUACAUUUGCUAAAGCCUAUAGUUAAAUAAAUAGAUGAAAUAGCGUAAAUUUUA